AUACGGAGGAUCCGAGCGUUAUCCGGAUUUAUUGGGUUUAAAGGGUGCGCAGGCGGCCAUUUAAGUCAGCGGUUAAAUCGUGGGGCUCAACCCCAUUCUGCCGUUGAUACUGGGUGGCUUGAUUGCGGUCGAGGUUGGCGGAAUUCGUUGUGUAGCGGUGAAAUGCAUAGAUAUGACGAAGAACACCGAUUGCGUAGGCAGCUGACCAGACCGCAAAUGACGCUCAUGCACGAAAGCGUGGGGAUCGAACAGGAUUAGAUACCCUGGUAGUCCACGCAGUAAACGAUGAUGACUAACCGUCGGCGAUAGACCGCCGGUGGCCAAGCGAAAGCGAUAAGUCAUCCACCUGGGGAGUACGACCGCAAGGUUGAAACUCAAAGGAAUCGACGGGG
rnacentral:rRNA from 1 species